rnacentral:rRNA from 1 species
CAGCAGCCACGGUAAUACGGAGGGGGCUAGCGUUGUUCGGAAUUACUGGGCGUAAAGCGCACGUAGGCGGCUUGGUAAGUUAGAGGUGAAAGCCCGGAGCUCAACCCCGGAAUUGCCUUUAAGACUGCCGAGCUAGUAGGUGAGAGAGGUAAGUGGAAUUCCGAGUGUAGAGGUGAAAUUCGUAGAUAUUCGGAAGAACACCAGUGGCGAAGGCGGCUUACUGGCUCAUUCUAGACGCUGAGGUGCGAAAGCGUGGGGGGCAAACAGGAUUAGAUACCCGUGUAGUCUCUGUCUCUUAUAC